GCGUGCCUAACACAUGCAAGUCGAGCGAACGCUUUACUUUGAUUCUUUCGGGAUGAAAAGUUUUGUGACUGAGCGGCGGACGGGUGAGUAACGCGUGGGUAACCUGCCUCAUACAGGGGGAUAACAGUUAGAAAUGACUGCUAGUACCGCAUAAGACCACAGCACCGCAUGGUGCAGGGGUAAAAACCCCGGUGGUAUGAGAUGGACCCGCGUCUGAUUAGGUAGUUGGUGAGGUAACGGCUCACCAAGCCGACGAUCAGUAGCCGACCUGAGAGGGUGACCGGCCACAUUGGGACUGAGACACGGCCCAAACUCCUACGGGAGGCAGCAGUGGGGAAUAUUGCACAAUGGGGGAAACCCUGAUGCAGCGACGCCGCGUGAGCGAAGAAGUAUUUCGGUAUGUAAAGCUCUAUCAGCAGGGAAGAAACUGACGGUACCUGACUAAGAAGCACCGGCUAAAUACGUGCCAGCAGCCGCGGUAAUACGUAUGGUGCAAGCGUUAUCCGGAUUUACUGGGUGUAAAGGGAGCGUAGACGGAGUGGCAAGUCUGGAGUGAAAACCCAGGGCUCAACCCUGGGACUGCUUUGGAAACUGUCAAUCUAGAGUGCUGGAGAGGUAAGUGGAAUUCCUAGUGUAGCGGUGAAAUGCGUAGAUAUUAGGAGGAACACCAGUGGCGAAGGCGGCUUACUGGACAGUGACUGACGUUGAGGCUCGAAAGCGUGGGGAGCAAACAGG
rnacentral:rRNA from 1 species